rnacentral:rRNA from 1 species
CGCAUCUGUGCAUGCAGCAUAUCAAUAAGCGGAGGAAAAGAAACUAACAAGGAUUCCCCUAGUAACGGCGAGUGAAGCGGGAGGAGCUCAAAUUUGAAAUCUUAAAGGGUUUCCCUUUACGAAUUAGUAGUUUAAAGAAGUGUUUUCUGUUGAGGUUUUGGUAAAAGUUCUUUGGAAUAGGACAUCAUAGAGGGUGAGAAUCCCGUAUUUGACCUUUACUUUCAACUUUGUGAUACACUUUCAAAGAGUCGGAUUGUUUGGGAAUGCAGUCCAAAAUGGGUGGUAAAUUUCAUCUAAAGCUAAGUAUUGGCGAGAGACCGAUAGCGAACAAGUACCGUGAGGGAAAGAUGAAAAGAACUUUGAAAAGAGAGUUAAACAGUACGUGAAAUUGUCAAAAGGGAAGCGUUUGACACCAGUGUUGUUUUUCUGAAAAUCAAUUAAAGAACUGUUUAUGCUAAGCUGUUUAGACUUUAUCAGCUAAUCUGUUUAGUUUUGAGCUUUUCUUUAAUGCACUUUUCAGUUAACAAGUCAACAUCAAUUUCUUUUGCUGUAAAAAAGCUUGAGGAAGGUGGCUUGAGAUUCGUCUUAAGUGUUUAUAGCCUCUUGCCUAUGCAGUCGGAGAGAUUGAGGUCUGCAGCGUAGAUCCUUCGGGGCUAAAUGCAUUUGUGCUAAGUUAUAGCAUUUUAUAGACAACUUGUUGACUAUGAUUUGUCUUGUAGCUUACUCGCUUAUGUUAUUUUACCUACGCUUAGGAUGUUGAGUCGUAGAGCACGCAG